AAAUUGAAGAGUUUGAUCAUGGCUCAGAUUGAACGCUGGCGGCAGGCCUAACACAUGCAAGUCGAACGGUAACAGGAAACAGCUUGCUGUUUCGCUGACGAGUGGCGGACGGGUGAGUAAUGUCUGGGAAACUGCCUGAUGGAGGGGGAUAACUACUGGAAACGGUAGCUAAUACCGCAUAAUGUCGCAAGACCAAAGAGGGGGACCUUCGGGCCUCUUGCCAUCGGAUGUGCCCAGAUGGGAUUAGCUAGUAGGUGGGGUAACGGCUCACCUAGGCGACGAUCCCUAGCUGGUCUGAGAGGAUGACCAGCCACACUGGAACUGAGACA
rnacentral:rRNA from 1 species